rnacentral:rRNA from 1 species
CGGAGGCGGAGCGAAAGCGAGUCUGAAUAGGGCGUAUAGUCGCUGGGACUAGACACGAAACCCGUGUGAUCUACCCAUGGUCAGGGUGAAGGUGGGGUAAAACCUGCUGGAGGCCCGAACCCGUCAACGUUGAAAAGUUGUGGGAUGAACUGUGGGGAGGGGUCAAAGUCCAAUCAAACCGGGAGAUAGCUUGUUCUCACCGAAAUAACUUUAGGGUUAGCCUCAAGAAGCAACUAUUGGGGGUAGAGCUACUGGAUGCGUGGUGGGCCCGUCUAGGGUACCCCAUGCAACCAAACUCCGAAUACCAAUAGCCAAGACUUGGGAGAUAGACCGCGAGUGAUAAUAUCCGCGGUCAAAAGGAGAAUAAUCCAGAUCGCCAGUUAAGGUCCCUAAAUUAUACUUAGUUUUUAAGGAAGUCAGAUUGCAGUGACAGCCAGGAUGUUGGCUUAGAAGCAGCCAUCAUUUAAAGAGUGCGUAAUAGCUCACUGGUCGAGGAAUCUGGCGCCGAUAAUGAUCGGGGAUAAGUAUAAUACCGAAACUGCGGACUUCAUCUAGUAUGAAGUGGUAGGUGAGCGUUCCAUGGGCGGCGAAGGUUACCGGUAACGGUUGCUGGAGCGUAUGGAAGUGAAUAUGCGGGCUUGAGUAACGAUAAUGCAGGUGAGAAUCCUGCACGCCGUAAGUCUAAGGUUUCCUGGGGAAGGUAAAUCCGCCCAGGGUUAGCCGGGUCCUAAGGCGAGGCCGAAAGGCGUAGUCGAUGGAUAGCA